CCUACGGGAGGCAGCAGUAAGGAAUAUUGCUCAAUGGAGGAGACCCUGAAGCAGCAACGCAGCGUGAAGGAUGACUGUUUUCGGAGUGUAAACUCCUUUUUUUAUAGGAGUUAAUGACGGUAUCUAACGAAUAAGCAACGGCUAACUCCGUGCCAGCAGCCGCGGUAAUACGGAGGGUGCAGGCGUUACUCGGAGUCACUGGGCGUAAAGAGGGCGUAGGCGGGAUAGUAAGUGAGAUGUGAAAUUCUUGGGCUUAACCAUAAAACUGGAGUUGAAACUGUUAGUCUAGAGUAUGGGAGAGGUAGGCGGAAUUCGUGGUGUAGGGGUGAAAUGCGUAGAGAUCAAGAAGAAUACUCAUUGCGAAGGCG
rnacentral:rRNA from 1 species